AGCCCUCCCCUCACGCCUGCCGACAUUUAAUAAGGGGCCCUGCGGGAGUAGAGGAGGGAGCCUGGAGCAGAGGGGGAAAGGGCAGCUCUUCUGGGGGGCUGGCUGCCAUUCUGUCCCCUAGGCUGACAAAUGUAGUUGGAGAAGCCUCACAGGUGGGCUUCACUUUAAGAAACUGGUGGGCUUUUGAAAUGUCCCAAUUUUAAUAGCACUCCUGUCCUAUGUUUGGAGAGAUAGAGCUUCAUUUUUAUCUCCUUCCAAAAGGCCCUGAUAUGUGGAGUCUCUCCCUGGGCCUCAAUUUGUUCAUCUGUGCAAUGGGUCAGGGGUUAUUAACACUAAGUGUUCAUGGAUAGGCUUCAGAAAUAUCAGAACCUUCUGAAAUGAAACGCAAAUUUUUGUGUGCAUGAGUUUAUGUCUACCUUUCCGGGAGAGAAAAUUGAUACAUUCAUCAGAUUCUCAAAUGUUGAAGACUCACUGGUAUAUAUUACCUUUGGGGGCCUCUUUCUUCCGAUAGUACAUGGCAUCUCUCUUUGUCCUCACCCCAAAUGAAAUCAGUAUGACAACAGAGUUCAUUUCUAAAUCUCCAUCACCCUGCAUUAUGUUGACUUUUCAUUUUAAUCCACCCCAGAUCCAAUAUCUCAUCUGUUUUCCUGGCAACAGUUGUUAAACCUUAGUUUUCCAAUUGGUAAAAUGAAAAGGUUGGAUUAGGUGAUUCUGUAAAGUCCCUUCUGUUUUUUUGUUUGUUUGGGGGGCGUUUUGGCCACACUGCGUGGCAUACAGGAUCUUAGUUCCCUGACUUGGGAUGGAACCCCAUGCCCCCUGCAGUGGAAGGGCAGAGUCUUAACCACUGGACCACCAGGGAAGUCCCCCCUUCUGUUUUUGACUCUAUGAUAUACUCUCAGGGAGCGACCACAGAUAUGGUUGGUGAAUUCACACUAAAAUGUGAAUGACUACCUUUCUAGGCAGCUGCUGAUAGACAGAAGUGGGAGUUGCUGCUUUUCACCCAUUCUACAUUUUUAGUGUAGGUUUCAGCAAACAUUUUCUGUAAAGGUCUCUGUCAGAAGUACUCCUCUCCUCUUGUAGCAUAAAAGUAGCUUUAUUUACAAGACAGGUAGUGAGCUGGAUUUGGCCUGAGGUCUGUGGUUUGCCCUGGAUUAAUGAAAAGAACAAAGGUUUUGAGCCAGAUUAGACCUGGGUUUGAAUACCAACUCUACUACUUACUCCUGUGGAAACCUGGACAAGUUAUGUAAAAUCUGAGUCUCUCUAGCUUCUGAAGAGUGGGAAUAACACUGCCAAGAAGGUCAGCAGGAUCGAAUAAAGAUGAUGAACACUUAAGACCAACCUCUCUGGGGCCACAUUGCCUGGAUCCAAAUCCUGGUUCCAUCACUCAAUUGUGUGAAGACUUGGGCAAGUUACUUAACCUCCCUUUGCCUCAUUUAUCAUCGAUCCAUGGGAAUGACAAUGACCCCACCACCUCAUGGGAUCAUAGGUAGGAUUAAAUAUUAAUAUUGGAUUCAGAAUAGUGCUAGCUUACACAGCUUGUUGUUAUAUGUUUAGUACAUGUCAGUUACAUAAUGCUGAUCUAUUUCUUCUCCUUCUCACCCAUCUUUGCCCAUUUCAAAGGCAACCCAGCUACUGCUGUGCUUUCAUGUAGCCGAAACAAUGUCUCUGUUCCCUUGUCCCCUCCUUAGGAAACUGCCCCAGAGGUUUGAAUUGGGGUCUGAGUAGCCAAAUCUGAGUCUCCUUGGGCCUGAGUGCAUGUGACCACUGGGCAGGAAGUUCCAGCUUCGGAAAUACCAGCCUCCACAAGCCUUGCCAGGCAGCAGCCAACCUCCUGCAGGACCUGGCUGCCUCACAAGCCCUCCGCUGUCAGUCCCCAUUAGGCUGCUGGCAAGGGAGAUGCUCCCUCAGCUGGACCAUGUUUCAGGGAGGCCCUGACCUCAGCUAUGACCCAGAAGAGCUGGAGACAGAAGUGUGGUAACCAGAGGCUCCUGAAAGUGCUGGCAAGUGAUUGGCUUCUGAUGUCUUUCUUACUAGCUACUGGCUUGUCAUCAGGCCUGGGAGGGGCUGAGCUGGGCCCCUAGCAGGGCAUGAAGGUAAGGGGUUGGGCCAUAGGAAAUCAAGGGAAACCACCUCUGUCCCCAGAGGACGCCCAGCAGGGGUCAUGGCCGGAACAUACCCUUGAGCCACGGUUGAUUGUUUCUACAGCAAAGAAUACAGAGGGAGCAGCCACCCCACCUACUGCAGGCUCCAGUGCAGAGUCUCAGCCUAGGACAGGAAGAUGUGGAGUCAGAAGAGGAGAGGCCUGAAGCAAAAACCCAGCUUCUGGCAAUGGUGAGCCUGGGGCAGACCUGAAGGCCGUGGUCAGGCCAACAACAGGGUACCUGCCUACUGCUCACCCUGAGUCCAUUCCCAGGUUCUUGCUACAUUUCUGUUCUUGCCCCACGGCGCCCCAGACUUCCCUGGUAGUUGCCAUUGACCCCUGACUCCCAUCUCCAGUCACUAGAUAGUAACAAUAACCUAUCAAUGGAGAGGAGUGAGAGGGCAGGGCCAAUAAACGAGGCAAACUCACUUCACAGAUAAGGAAGGACAUUGCCACUCUGGCAUUUCAAGUGAGCUGCAGAAUCAGAUCAGGGAGUGUCAGAGCCAAGACUAGAAUUUUUAGGUAAGCAAUUAAAUGCAUAGAGUUCCCCACCGGAGUUUUGGGAUUGGAAGGGAGCACGGCACAAGCAGUACCUGGCUGGCUUUGUUAAAAUAGAAAAUGGGGCCAUCCAGGUCUCACGGGCCAUGGUUCCCAGGAGGACUGAGACCUUAGGAGCAUCAGCACCUUGGACAAGGCCAAUGCACUGGGCUGACAUUCAAUUAACAAGCACAUCAGCUUAUCCUGCCACAGUUACUCUUCCCGGUGCUUUACAAAUUGCAACUCUUUGAAUCCUCUUAAUGAGUCGAUGAGGUAGUAUUAUUAUCCCCAUUUGUAAGUGGGGAAAAUGGAGACACAAAGAGAAGAGACAACUCACUAGCUGGUGGGACUGUGAUUUGAAGCCAGGAAGUCCGGCUGCAGUCUGUGCUUCUAACCACUCUGAUGUCCCCAGCCAUCCAGGCAUACCGUGGUCCAGCUGGUAGGGGCAUGGGUCCUCAACUAGUUCCAACACCCUCUCCAAUUACAAAUAAGUACUAGAAAUGAAAAUAAAUUAAUUUAUAUGUAUACACAUUUAUAAUUUGUACACAUAUACAUACUUUAUAUACAUAUGUUAUAUAUGCAUGCACUUAAAUCUGUAUACAUUUAUAUAUAAAUAUAAUUUGCCUACAUGAUGCUAGGAAGCAAAUGACUUGCCCUAGAUCACAAAGUAAGAGAUUUCAUCUUGAACAGACCUCUCCUUUAUCUCAAGGAAAAUAUCUUUGCUGGCUUUCUCCAUACACACCCCAAUCCCAUGCUUUCUGGUUCUUAUGUCCAUCUGGACUCACUAUCAAAAAGCAAAAAUAUUAUACUCAUAUGCGUUAGGAUGAUAAGUGGCUGCAUGUAACUGAAAUCUAACCAUGGUCUCUUAACAAUGAGUUUUUCUCAUUUUCUUGUAACAAAUACGCAAUGAGUCAGAGAGAAGAGUGUUCUUCAGCAGGAAGAAAAAGGAGAAGUGUCCCUGGUUCUGGAGAAGGACUUUAGUGAGGAUCUCCUCCUGGACAUGCCCAGAAGCCCAGGAUGCCUCUGGUGAUGCUUAAGAAAGUCAUCAAGGAUUUGGACUCCUUCUAGCUUCCUGUUCUACCAUCUACAGCAUGCGGUUCUCACAGUCAUGGAGAAAAAUGGCUAAUCCACCUGCUGACAUCUUGCCCACCUUUCAGGCAGGAAGAAGGGAAAUAAAGAGAAAGAGCAAAGGGCAGAGGCCUGCUGAAUCUGUGCCUCUUGACUCUGAAGAAGAGUAGAUUUCCUAGAAACCCACCUGGAUGUCCAUCUACAUCUCCUAGGCCAGAUUCAUGUAACCUGGCAACUUUAGCUGUAAGAGAGUCUGGGGUGGGAGAAAGACUGUGUAACUGGAUACAUUGCUUCUCUGGACAGAAUCAGGAAGAGGAUCUUAGGAAGAGGAUGAGAAGGAUAUUGGGAAGACACUGGUCAUUACCUCCCUUUCGUGGCUUCCUCACCUGAAUUCCAUCAUCUGCUGACAAUGGCAGGGGCCCUUGUGCAAAGCACCAUGGUCUGAGUGGCCAUAGAUAAAGGGCUUCUCUGUCCUAUGGGGUGAGAUCAAUGACUCCCUUGGGCUCAAGUUAUGGGGAUUCAGGACGCAGGUCUUGCAGGUGAGAACAGACUGACCUGGGUUGGCAUUUACAGAGGCACCUCUAACUGGCUGAGCUGGCAGCUAGGUCUGCUUGUAGCCAAUUACAGAGUUAAAGUUUUAACAGCUGACCUUCUCUUUUAACUCAUGUUUUAAUUCAAAUAAUGUACACAUGCUGCUUCUCUCUGCUAACUAUGCUGAUAGGCUCUAGCCUGUUUGGCUAUUUCUUUUUAUCCUGAAUCACAGGUGUGUAGGAUCAAGCAGUCAGCAGAAAAACAGUCAGUCUGGUCCGCCUUGACCGGAGGCAGACCACCGCAAUGUCCAUGAAUCACGGAAGUAUCAAAAGAAAUGGCUCCAGCCCAGCGAGGUCUCAGUCACAUAGUCUUGUGAUCCCCACCCUCAAAAUUCUCCUUAAAUAGACCUGCCCUCUUUCAGAGAGUAGGACGGUAGUUUUCAAGAUCUUAGUCUGUUACCCUCCUCAUUUGCUGGCACAUUAAGAAAUUUUUCCUUCCUUUAUCCUCAAAACCUUGCCCUCGUUAUUCUCAUUUGGCAUCGGGGACAGGGACCAAAUUUUCGGUUACAAAUUGGCUGAGCCAGCCAGAGGCACCUCGGCUCCCCAGUGGGGUGGUGUUCAUCCCCUACCCAAGCCCGAUGGAACACUGUCAGAGCGGGGAGGGCCCGCCCCGAGGGCCCGCCCCCGCCCCCGCCCCCGCCCCCGCCCCAGGUUGCACUUGGAGCCCACGCCGGCAAGAGGGCUGCCUUCCGGGAAGAGAGUGAGGGACUGUCCAAGAAGCGGCCAGAGCCCCAUUUAGCUCUGGGGAACUCCGGUCUCUCUCCCCAGAUAGGACAUGGUCCCCUGCAACUUGAACCUUCUUGGAGGAAAAGGAAACAGAUUUUGGAAGAGUCGAGACACCUUGGCCAUUUGGUUUUCCCCCAACGUGGAGAACUAGGCAAAGGUAUAAACGAAGAGUAAGCCUAGCCCUGAGGGACAUGAAUGGACCUGGAGCAGGCAGCUAAACCACUUCAACAACAAUGGAAAAAUGUAUUGAUUAUCAGUGCUUUCUAUGGAGAGAUUUGCAACUAAAGGGGAAAAAUGAUGGAGGAAAUUUUCACAUAUUGAGGAGACUCUUCUAGAACAGCAGAGGUGACUCAGGAGGCCCUGGAAGAUCUCAGCCUCACAAGAUGGAGAAGCCAGAUAUCAAAUCACAAGGGAAGGCCAGCUGCAGUUGGCAAAACUCAUUUGGACUGUGAUGUGAGUGAAAAACAUAUGCUUGUUGAAUGAAGGAAUAAUCAAAGAGCUAAAAGACUGGAAUGUUUCUAAGUACCAAGAGCAGAAGAGUACAGGGUUUUCUGUGAAACUUUGGAAAGGAUGAUGGACUAGUUGACAAGAAAUUUUUCUCACUCCAAACAAUUGGGUUGGAUCAACUGGCACUUUGGUGAAGCUAUCCUGAGAAGCCACUAUUCUUUUCCAUUUUCUCCUGCUGCCCCCACAUCUAAAGAGCACAAAGUGUUUCUAAGGCUAUAGAUAGCCCUGUGGGAUGGUAUUGUAGUUAAUACUGAGUUCUGAAGGCCCUGGUUUUGCUAGUGAAAUGAUAGGAGCAUGCUGUGUGUACAUUAAAAGAAGUGUUGUUAUAUUAAAAUCUUUUCUUUCUUUCCUUUAUUCUCAAAACCUUGUCCUCAUUAUCAUUUGGCAUUGGGAACAGGGACCAAAAUUUUGGUUACAUGCUGAGCAGAGCAUUUCUGCCCACUCCAGGCUCCUGCUCCCCUUCUCUGGCCUGACAGGGCCCCUUGGCAAUGGAGGAGGACAAUCAAAAUAGAACAUGAGCACUGUGGCCACCAGGUAGCACCAGCACACACUCCUGCUGCCAAGCAAAGGCUCAGGGAAGCCCAGAGGACUAGGGGUCUUUG